rnacentral:rRNA from 1 species
CUGGUUGAUCCUGCCAGAGGUUACUGCUAUCGAGGUUCGACUAAGCCAUGCGAGUCGAAUGUAGCAAUACAUGGCGUACUGCUCAGUAACACGUGGACAACCUGCCCUUAGGUCGGGUAUAAACCCGGGAAACUGGGUAUAAUCCCCGAUAGGUCUCGGCUGCUGGAAUGCAUCGAGAUUUAAAGCUCCGGCGCCUAAGGAUGGGUCUGCGGCCUAUCAGGUAGUAGUGGGUGUAGCGUACCUACUAGCCUACGACGGGUACGGGUUGUGAGAGCAAGAGCCCGGAGAUGGAUUCUGAGACACGAAUCCAGGCCCUACGGGGUGCAGCAGGCGCGAAAACUUUACAAUGCUGGCAACAGCGAUAAGGGAACCUCGAGUGCCAGGUUACAAAUCUGGCUGUCGAGAUGCCUAAAAAGCAUUUCAUAGCAAGGGCCGGGCAAGACCGGUGCCAGCCGCCGCGGUAACACCGGCGGCUCGAGUGGUAACCGUUAUUAUUGGGUCUAAAGGGUCUGUAACCGGCCGGAUAAGUCUCUUGAGAAAUCUGGCAGCUUAACUGUCAGGCUUUCAGGAGAUACUGUCUGGCUCGAGGCCGGGAGAGGUGAGAGGUACUUCAGGGGUAGGGGUGAAAUCUUGUAAUCCUUGAAGGACCACCAGUGGCGAAGGCGUCCCACCAGAACGGACCUGACGGCAAGGGACGAAAGCUAGGGGCACGAACCGGCUUAGAUACCCGGGUAGUCCUAGCCGUAAACGAUACUCGCUAGGUGUCGGCCACGGUGCGACCGUUGUCGGUGCCGUAGGGAAGCCGUGAAGCGAGCCACCUGGGAAGUACGGCCGCAAGGCUGAAACUUAAAGGAAUUGGCGGGGGAGCACCAC